rnacentral:RNase_P_RNA from 1 species
CCGGGGAGCCGGGCAGCCGCGCCCUUCGACAGGCUCAGGAUGAGCGGGUCGAUUGUGCGAGGAAAGUCCGGGCUCCACGAAACGAGGGUGGCGGGUAACGCCCGCCGUGGGCAACCACAGGGAAAGUGCCACAGAGAGUAUACCGCCGAUGGCCCCUUGGGGCACAGGCAAGGGUGAAAGGGUGCGGCAAGAGCGCACCGGGGCGCUGGCAACAGGGCCCGCAUGGCAAACCCCACCCGGAGCAAGACCGCAUAGGGGUCGCGCGCCUCGCAAGAGGCAGGGGUGUUUCGCCCCGAGCGACCCGGGUUGGUCGCCAGAGCGCGCCGGGCAACCGGCCGCCCAGACGAAUGGCUGCCGCCGCCGAUACCUUCCUGCAUGCAGGAUAAGGUCGGCGGACACAGAACCCGGCUUACAGGCUCCCCGGCACA